rnacentral:rRNA from 1 species
CAGUCGAACGAUGAAGCCCAGCUUGCUGGGUGGAUUAGUGGCGAACGGGUGAGUAACACGUGAGUAACCUGCCCUUGACUCUGGGAUAAGCCUGGGAAACUGGGUCUAAUACCGGAUAGGAACGUCCACCGCAUGGUGGUUGUUGGAAAGAUUUAUCGGUCAUGGAUGGACUCGCGGCCUAUCAGCUUGUUGGUGAGGUAAUGGCUCACCAAGGCGACGACGGGUAGCCGGCCUGAGAGGGUGACCGGCCACACUGGGACUGAGACACGGCCCAGACUCCUACGGGAGGCAGCAGUGGGGAAUAUUGCACAAUGGGCGAAAGCCUGAUGCAGCGACGCCGCGUGAGGGAUGACGGCCUUCGGGUUGUAAACCUCUUUCAGUAGGGAAGAAGCGAAAGUGACGGUACCUGCAGAAGAAGCACCGGCUAACUACGUGCCAGCAGCCGCGGUAAUACGUAGGGUGCGAGCGUUAUCCGGAAUUAUUGGGCGUAAAGAGCUCGUAGGCGGUUUGUCGCGUCUGUCGUGAAAGUCCGGGGCUUAACCCCGGAUCUGCGGUGGGUACGGGCAGACUAGAGUGCAGUAGGGGAGACUGGAAUUCCUGGUGUAGCGGUGGAAUGCGCAGAUAUCAGGAGGAACACCGAUGGCGAAGGCAGGUCUCUGGGCUGUAACUGACGCUGAGGAGCGAAAGCAUGGGGAGCGAAC